CCCAAGUUCGCACAGCGAGCCAGGGCUAUGUUUUAAACCUCCAACUCGUGGUCUGCGACUCCUCAUCCCGUCACCUGCCCUUCUGGGGCGCUCUGGUUCCCUGGAGUGGAUCAGUCACGGCAAGGAGCCUCGUGCUCUGUCACAGCUGGGGCCGUUAAGCAGUUACUCCGUGUGCUGUGUGCUCGUUCACGCACUGAUGAUUAUCUCUAUGUCCGCUUGUUUCUUCCUUACCGCGAUCCAUUUGUUUCCUCAAAGCGCAGAAAUCUUGACUCAGGGAGAUUAAGUUUGGUCUGUCUCCCAUAAUGAACAACAGUGCAUCAAGCCUCUCACAUAGAGCCAUCCAUGCCGGUACUGUUACUGCUAGGUGGUAGACCCCCACAUGUGGAAAUGUUAUGUCAAAGGGGCAAGAGGAAGUACUGGCAAACACAGGCACCAGGGGAGAGUGAGUCUC